rnacentral:sRNA from 1 species
UUUUUUUUUCGUUUUCUUAGGUGGCUAGGGUCUCAGCUAGGUAGGACUCGUGCUGAUAACGUGUUAUAACCAGAGAAAGAGAUAGAAGAAAUGAGUGUGUUAUUCCAUUGAGAUAAAAGGUUCUUUAUAUAGGUGUACAAGGAAAGGGUAAAACCCUAGAAACAUCUAGAUGAUGGGCUUAGAUGAUGGGCCUUAUAAUGGGCAUCCAUCUUUAUUCAUAACACAAAUAUAUUAUUUGUAUCACUUUUACAAUUUUGAUACAAACUAAAGAAUUUGCGUCAUUUAGAAAAUGAUACAAAAUUUACAUCAAUAACAAAUGAUGUUAGUUAAAGAUUAAGCAUCAGUUAU